AGAGUUUGAUCCUGGCUCAGAACGAACGCUGGCGGCGUGCUUAACACAUGCAAGUCGUACGAGAAAGCUCGCUUCGGUGAGUGAGUAGAGUGGCGCACGGGUGAGUAACACGUGGGUAACCUACCCGACAGUCCGGGAUAACAUUCCGAAAGGAGUGCUAAUACCAGAUACGUCCGGUGGCUCUUCGGAGUUGCCGGGGAAAGAUGGCCUCUGCUUGCAUGCUAUCGGCUGACGGAUGGGCCCGCGGGCCAUUAGCUUGUUGGUGAGGUAACGGCUCACCAAGGCGACAAUGGCUAGCUGGUCUGAGAGGAUGAUCAGCCACACUGGAACUGAAACACGGUCCAGACUCCUACGGGAGGCAGCAGUGGGGAAUAUUGCGCAAUGGGGGCAACCCUGACGCACCAACGCCGCGUGAGUGAUGAAGGCCUUCGGGUCGUAAAGCUCUGUCAGAGGGGAAGAAGGUUCGGUCGGUUAAUACCCGACAGUUCUUGACGGUACCCUCAAAGGAAGCACCGGCUAACUCCGUGCCAGCAGCCGCGGUAAUACGGAGGGUGCAAGCGUUGUUCGGAAUCACUGGGCGUAAAGGGCGCGUAGGCGGUUUCCUAAGUCAGAUGUGAAAGCCCCCGGCUUAACCGGGGAACUGCAUUUGAUACUGGGUUACUUGAGUACGGGAGAGGGAAGUGGAAUUCCUGGUGUAGAGGUGAAAUUCGUAGAUAUCAGGAGGAACACCCGUGGCGAAGGCGGCUUCCUGGACCGAUACUGACGCUGAGGCGCGAAAGCGUGGGGAGCAAACAGGAUUAGAUACCCUGGUAGUC
rnacentral:rRNA from 1 species